GUCAAACAAAUCGACUGCAGGACUUAUUUUUUUCAAAGCCUGGUACUUAUUCUAUCGAUCUUUUUUUGCCGAACCGCGGUUCGGCAAAGGAGAGCCACAGAAUAAAUACCAAACUUCAAGUGUCGAAACCAUAAUGAUAUCCGUGGGGCAGCUGAUGAUGGAGAAUUGUUGGUAUGGCUGUUUUUUGUAUAUGUAGAAUAGUUUUAUAACACAUCCUUUUGAUAUAUGAGGACACCAAAAUCUUUAAAAGUGCUUUGGGCCUCUAUGCGUCUUAAUCCGGUCCUGUUUCUGAUAAAGAUUUACACUAGAUAAAACUCAUAUUUCUAAGUUUCCUACAGCUGUUCGGAUUAAUCCGAUAUAAUAAAUGGCUACUAUGUU